CCUACGGGAGGCAGCAGUAGGGAAUCUUCCACAAUGGGCGAAAGCCUGAUGGAGCAACGCCGCGUGGGUGAAGAAGGUCUUCGGAUCGUAAAACCCUGUUGUUAGAGAAGAAAGUGCGUGAGAGUAACUGUUCACGUUUCGACGGUAUCUAACCAGAAAGCCACGGCUAACUACGUGCCAGCAGCCGCGGUAAUACGUAGGUGGCAAGCGUUAUCCGGAUUUAUUGGGCGUAAAGGGAACGCAGGCGGUCUUUUAAGUCUGAUGUGAAAGGCGUCGGCUUAACCGGAGUAGUGCAUUGGAAACUGGGAGACUUGAGUGCAGAAGAGGAGAGUGGAACUCCAGGUGUAGCGGUGAAAUGCGUAGAUAUAUGGAAGAACACCAGUGGCGAAAGCGGCUCUCUGGUCUGUAACUGACGCUGAGGUUCGAAAGCGUGGGUAGCAAACAGGAUUAGAUACCCCGGUAGUC
rnacentral:rRNA from 1 species